rnacentral:piRNA from 1 species
UAAUCAAUCUCAUUUAUGGGGUUUGCCUA